GAAAAUUACAAGCAUAAGCUUAAAACUCAAAGGACUUGGCGGCGUUUUAGAUCCACCUAGAGGAGCCUGUCCUAUAACCGACAAUCCACGUUAAACCUUACCUUCUUUUGCACUCAGUCUAUAUACCGCCGUCGUCAGCUCACCUUUUGAGAGUCUUAUUAGUAAGCAAGAUCGGUUAAGCCCAAGACGUCAGGUCGAGGUGUAACACAUAAGAAGCGAAGAGAUGGGCUACAUUUCCUGCCUAAGGGUCUCCCGGAAAAUAUUUUGAAAUCAAAUAUAUUGAAGAAGGAUUUAGCAGUAAGUAAAAACCAGAAAGUUUU
rnacentral:rRNA from 1 species